UGCUCCUCCCAUUGCUCUCUGUGCUCCCUCCCAUUGCUCUGUGUUCUCCUCCCACUGCUCUGUGUUCCCUCCCACUGCUCUGUGUGCUCCUCCCAUUGCUCUCUGUGCUCCCUCCCAUUGUUCUCUGUGCUCCCUCCCAUUGUUCUCUGUGCUCCCUCCCAUUGUUCUCUGUGCUCCCUCCCAUUGCUCUCUGAUCCACUGUAAGCAAGCAAGUGGCCUCUGGCUUUCCCUGCCAUGGAGCAACCUAUUGCCACGCCUUCCUCCUUAUGAUGGGCUGCAUCCCUUCAAACCACGAUCCAAAGAAUCGUGAAUGAGUUGUCUCCAUCAGAAAUCUGCUCACAGCAGCAACAAGAACAAAAGAGGCAACUAUAGACCAUGGAGUGUGGAUGGAACUUCAGCUUGGAGAUAUGAGGUUCAGUCCUGAUGUGAUGGGGAGAGUGUUCUGUGUUCUGAUAUGUGACCAACAGAUGGAAAAAUGGACAGACACAGAGACACAUUUGACCAGGGGACUAAAUUCUACAAGGCUGUUAACCAUCAUGAUAGUCAGGACCAAACCAAGGACACCUGGCAAAGAUGGCACCCUGGCCCUCUGCCGUGACUUCAUGCUCUAGCAAUAAGAUCAUAGGACAGCAGAAAGGACAGGAAACCAGCACACCUUCUAGUCUGCUUGAGAGCCAGUGAGGGGCAUGCAAGAACCCUGCCUUCCUGUCUUGUCUUGUCAGCUGGUGAAGAGCAAUCACUGGAAGGACUCUGGGCUGGCAUACUAGCAUGACGGCUUGGCAUCGUGGCACAUCUUCUUUGAAAAAUUGCCAGCAAUGACUGCCUUGUUGUCUUAAAUAAAUUACCCAGAACAAUAAGGCCUCAUUAUUUUAGCAAUUAAGGAACAACAUGGCAAACAAUGCUUAAUUCUCUCUUCUUUUUUUAACAUCACACAAAAAAAAUGUGACUCAGGGAAAGGGCAAAUUAAGACCAAAUUGGGGGCCAUAAACCCUCUGUAGGGGGGCAAAUGAAGUCUGGGGUAAACAUUAAGAACCAAUGUCUCAGCACACGAGAGGGCCGAGCCUCCCCCAGGUGAGUCUCAGAGGGGUAGCUUUCCACUAGUCCAAGUGUGAAUGCUGACAGUAUAUAUUGAAAAGGUCCACUUUCUAUUUUCUAGCCCCUGCCCCCAUGUUUACAGCUUGAAGAUUACUCCCAUGUGUAGACUAAUCCUACCGCAAUUAACUAAAUCGGACUCCUUAUUCAGCUGCACAUAAAAACCCUGCCUCCAUGUUCAACUGUGUAUACUCAACAGACUGAGUUUCAGGGUGCUGUAAUUUCUCCAUUUGAGAACCCAAACCCCCGGAUCGCAGUCUUCUUGCGCGUUGUGUCUGUGUAAACCUCUCACCAUCCCAAUCAGGUCAGUCCCUGGAGCCAUGCUGAAUGCCACAGAUCUCAGAGUUCGUCUCCACUUUGCAUCAGUUUAAACUUAAGCACUUGAAAGUAAGAGUUCAACUUGAAUAUACUCCUUGAAUAUAGCCAAGCCAGACGUGCCAGUGAAAAUCCACAGGUACUCUGCAGUUAUAUCAGUUUAAGUGAUAACAUAUUCCAGGAGAAGGUUACUUCAAAUUUGCAAGCAUGCAUUCCUAUGUGCUAUGUGCUUUCUGCAAAGGAGCAAGCCACAGGAGUUGGAACUCUGGCAUCAGGAGCCAGGGAGCAUCACAUAUGCUCAGAGCAUGCACACCAACUGAAUCCAUCUCCCUCUCCUUCACGCUGACUGCAUUCACAUCCUAACGAGCAGUGCACUGAGAAAUCCUCAGCACCAGAUACCCAGCAAUGGGAGGCAGUACAACUGAGAGAACAAGAAGUAUAUAGCCUAACAGAGGACACAAUUAUUGGGCAGGACAGAUUUUAUAAACAGAUACUGUAAACCUCUUACCUCCACACUCGAUUGCACAUGAGAAUACAUUUGCAUGCCUAGCACAUGGUCACUUACAGACUCAGAGCAUGAAUAUGUUCAUUUUAUUCCCAAAUAGCCCACUUCAUUUCCCAUACUUGUUCCCCAAUUUUCUUCUAAUAAGCCGUCUUAAGCAGAUUUUUGCAAGAAACAAAAUGCAUAAUAAUAUAUACACUAUGUAUAAUUUAGUCAGUUAACAAUGACUAAGUAUCCAGUAUAUCUAAGCCUCAGAUAAGACACUGGACAACAACAACACAACCACCACUGAAGAAGUCACUCACACUAUUGAAAAAUGAAACCUUCUCUGGGAAUUAUAAAGAUAAAAGAUACUAUUACUAUUAGCCAAAACCAAAAAAUCAACCACAUAUCACCAGCCACUCUGGGGAUCUAGGAGGAGGCAACAGCCCACUUAUGGAAAUCAAAGAGGUCUCACCAAGUAUAGCAUGAAUGGGGGAAGUCUUGGAGACAGAGGUGGUUGGCAUGAGAGACAACAAAGAAGGAUUCUGGUCUAGAGAGCCAGGACUACACAAAGAAAAGCUAUCUCAAAAAAAAAAAAAAAAAAA